rnacentral:snRNA from 1 species
AGCUUUGUGCAGUGGUAGUAUCAUAGCCAAUGAUGUUUAUCUGAGGUGUGAUUAUUGCUAAUUGAAGAAUCAGAAUCCAAAUGAUGAUAAUUCAUUGUAAUGCAUUCAUGU